GAUACCUAUAGCGCCGAUUUGUCCGGAUUGCGGGCGCUCAAGAAAUUCCGCUAAAGAGGGCGCUGCACACCGGCC
rnacentral:ncRNA from 2 species